rnacentral:rRNA from 1 species
GGGCCCGCACAAGCGGUGGAGCAUGUGGUUUAAUUCGAUGAUACGCGAGGAACCUUACCAGGGCUUAAAUGUAAGUUGCAUAGACCAGAGAUGGUCUUUUCUUCGGACUACUUACAAGGUGCUGCAUGGUUGUCGUCAGCUCGUGCCGUGAGGUGUCAGGUUAAGUCCUAUAACGAGCGCAACCCCUGUCGUUAGUUGCCAUCAAGUAAAGUUGGGUACUCUAGCGAGACUGCCGGUGCAAACCGUGAGGAAGGUGGGGAUGACGUCAAAUCAUCACGGCCCUUACGUCCUGGCUACACACGUGCUACAAUGGCCGGUACAGAGAGCAGCCACUACGCGAGUAGGAG